UACGGAGGGAGCUAGCGUUGUUCGGAUAUACUGGGCGUAAAGCGCACGUAGGCGGCGUCGUAAGUCAGGGGUGAAAUCCCGGAGCUCAACUCCGGAACUGCCCUUGAAGCUGCAAUGCUAGAAUCUUGGAGAGGCGAGUGGAAUUCCGAGUGUAGAGGUGAAAUUCGUAGAUAUUCGGAAGAACACCAGUGGCGAAGGCGACUCGCUGGACAAGUAUUGACGCUGAGGUGCGAAAGCGUGGGGAGCAAACAGG
rnacentral:rRNA from 1 species